CGUGAAUUUUCGCAUUUCAUUUUGGCGAUGAUAUUCUAGAUCGAAGAUAUAAGGUGAAAAAACAAUUGAUUACACAUAAUACUGUAUAAUUUCUACAAAUCAAUCACAUCAAUAUCAUAAAACUGCUGAUAUAUCGUAAACGCAAUAAAUUUGAAAAAAUAACCAUAAUAAUGCUACCAAACAUAUUAGAAGCGAUAUUUAGAUAAUGGAUAUGUUAAUAUUUGAGAAAAAAAAAAAGAUAAACGAAUUUGCGGAAAUCCAAGACCAAGUACAUAAUAUUUAUUCUGUUUUUGCGUCGGAAAUUUACAAUACAGCUUAACCAUCGUACCUCUGAUAAUAGAUUCCAUAUAUAUGCAUUUUUGAAGAUUUGAAAUGCUUAUAAACGCUCCCAAUAGCUGUAAAUGGUAAAUAAUAUUGGAAAAUAAAUAAAUGGAAAAUGUAUACAUCCGAUGGAAAAGUAGAAAAAAAGGAAAGAUUGAUUAAGGAUAUAAAAGCGGCAAGUUGUUCUAGUAGAAUUACUUGAUGGAGGUGAGGAAAGUAAUGGCAAUGUUUAUAAAAGCGCAAAUUAAUAGAAGUCAUUUCAAAGUUACAGUUGUUAUUAAUGAUAAAUUUUAUUAUGAUUAUACCAGUAAACUAAACGUGAAUUUCUAGAGGAUUGUGGAAAAAUAUGAGGCUGAUUCAAAGUGUUUAUAGAAAUUAUUGCGAUAUGAGAGGAUGGAGUUCUUCAAACUUGAUACACGAAAAUCUCAUAAUAACAUUGACGCUCAUUUCUCAGAAAGAAAUUGUUCUCAUUUCUAAUAAGUAACUAUUUCGAAUAAACAUUAUAUCUAUUGGUAGCAAAUGAUUAUAAUUUAAUAUUAUUAUCAAUAGUGAAUUUAAUUUUAAUUUGAGGCACACGUGAUAUAAUGAGAAUUUAUUAUAAACCAUCGCAUAGUAUAUUUGGCAACAGUUUAGUAUUAUUUAUCGUGAUAGUAAGAUUCUAUAUUCAAUAACAAUAUGAAGUUGAUAUUAUUAUUUGCCUUCAUUUUAUUCAUAGGAACGAUCAGGGCUGCGAUAAUUGGAUGCCCGCCAAAUUCAAAUUGGAAGGAAAUAGGAGGAUCUAACUGCUACACUCCUGUCCCUACAUGUCAAAAUCCAAACCCAAAGCGUGUGGUAAAUCCGAAUGGAUGUGUUUUGGAUUUGGUAAGAGCCUGUUGGUGUGAUGAAGGUUAUUUAAUGAAUGAUAACAAAUGUUUACUAAAAGAAAACUGUCCUCAAUAAUAAAAUAUAAUACUAAUUCAGUUCCUAAUUUUGUAUAUGUAAAGAUAUUGAUUAACUCCAAUAAAUAAUUUAUGAUGA